AGCGAGCGUUAGCGGCGGGCCUAACACAUGCAAGUCGAACGCGAAAGGUCUUCGGACUGAGUAGAGUGGCGCACGGGUGAGUAACACGUAGGUAAUCUACCCUUUGGCGGGGGAUAACGUUCCGAAAGGAGCGCUAAUACCGCAUAAGACCACGGAGUCUCCGGACGCUGUGGGAAAAGGUGGCCUCUUCUUGAAAGCUACCACCGAAGGAUGAGCCUGCGUCCCAUCAGCUAGUUGGUAAGGUAAUGGCUUACCAAGGCGAAGACGGGUAGCUGGUUUGAGAGAAUGAUCAGCCACACUGGCACUGGAACACGGGCCAGACUCCUACGGGAGGCAGCAGUGAGGAAUAUUGAGCAAUGGGCGAAAGCCUGACCCAGCCACGCCGCGUGAGUGAUGAAGGCCCUCGGGUCGUAAAGCUCUGUGGAGAGGGACGAAAACCCUGGUUUCAAAUAGGCUCCAGGCUUGACGGUACCUCUUUAGCAAGCACCGGCUAACUCUGUGCCAG
rnacentral:rRNA from 1 species